rnacentral:rRNA from 1 species
GACGAACGCUGGCGGCGUGCUUAACACAUGCAAGUCGAACGGAAAGGCCCUGCUUUUGUGGGGUGCUCGAGUGGCGAACGGGUGAGUAACACGUGAGUAACCUGCCCUUGACUUUGGGAUAACUCCAGGAAACUGGGGCUAAUACCGGAUAGGAGCUCCUGCUGCAUGGUGGGGGUGAGAAAGUUUCGGCGGUUGGGGAUGGACUCGCGGCUUAUCAGCUUGUUGGUGGGGUAGUGGCUUACCAAGGCUUUGACGGGUAGCCGGCCUGAGAGGGUGAACGGCCACAUUGGGACUGAGAUACGGCCCAGACUCCUACGGGAGGCAGCAGUGGGGAAUAUUGCACAAUGGGCGGAAGCCUGAUGCAGCGACGCCGCGUGCGGGAUGACGGCCUUCGGGUUGUAAACCGCUUUCGCCUGUGACGAAGCGUGAGUGACGGUAAUGGGUAAAGAAGCACCGGCUAACUACGUG